UCAGAUGUCAUUCACGCCGAUGAGAAAAUGUCUGAAAAUAACACGAAGCCGAAAUUUAUAGAAAAUUCAGACGUCACUUGCUUUGUAGCCGUUGAGAGAUGCUUGAAAAUUCAAAUCUCAUGGAGUGGAUAACUAAUUGGAGUAAACCAUGGUGUUCAAACCAUGUAAACCACAGUAUUUCUCGUACGAAAUUCAUUUUAAAGGGAGGGAUGAUAUUUAUUAGUCCUGUCAUUAUUUGUGCACAGAGGGAGGCACCCGCCGGUGUCUGUGUGGAAUUUGCAUGUUUAAGAUCAUAACCCUAACCUCUGUCAGACCAAUUAAUGCUCUUUUAUUUUUUUUCUUUUGUCAGUGCUUUGUUCUGUCUUUCUGUUAGUUUUUAUUGUGUUAUCUUCCGUCGUUUCAUUAUUUCUUGUUUUUCCUUUUUUGUAAGAGUCUGUCUACAGUGUGCACACUGGUCUGUCUGUCAUGAUCUUUAUCUAUUGUUUUUUCUUUUCUUUUUUUCACAUUUUGUAUGGUAGAAGAUGAAGAAGAAAAUCAGAGGAGGUAGGGGUCAAGAAAUGGCAGCUGAUCGAGCGAAAAAUUCUUCUUCUAGCCGGUCAUGGCACUGACAAUGGAUUCACUUGUGGGACCAUUUCUCAGAGGAGGCCUUGCUAAGCUCUUCAUGACUCCUUCUGAACCUGCUCACUGGGUCAGUUUCAUGAAAGGGCUGAGGUUGCACCAGAUCGAAGGGAGAAUUAUCUCCAGCGCCUUUAGCAGGUUCAACAACAAGGACACAAUCCAGGUCUCUUGGGAGCUUUAUUGUCUCAUUUAUCAGUGGCCAACCAGAAGCAAUUUUCGUCUCAGCAACAACAAUCUGUACUUUUGUAGCAGGUUUGUUUGCUGGUUGUCGUAAAACAAAGAAGCUGCAAUCAUUGAAGUUGACAUGUUUGGUGAGGUUGACAUGAAUGAUUACAAACAGGACUUGGGUGGCAGCAUGUUGCAGCGAAAAAACUGCAGUUUGAUAAGAAGGAUCCUAAAGUGAGUCGAGGAGCUAUAUGAUUCAUCUUUUUCAUCAUGAUGUAUAAAAACAACAAGAGAUGGAAUUAGGCUUCAAUCACUUAUGUAGUUAAAUUUUGGUUAAGCAUAUUGACUUGAUAGCAUUGUAAUAUGUACAAAUAUAGUGCUUAAUAAAAAAUAUUGGAAGGGGUUAAAAACCCCUUCUAAAGACUGAAGGAAAUAGUCAUUGGCCAUGGUUAUUCUUGAGGUCAUGUUUUCUGACACCUUAAAGAAUGGUCAAUAGGUCAAGACCAUUCUUUAAGGUUUGUGUCUUUUUUCUUUUUGUAUUCUUUUUUCAGUUUAAUUUUUAUUUAAGAAUAAUUUAUAAAAUAGUGCACAAAGGAUAGUCAUAAAUAACCCUUA